rnacentral:tRNA from 1 species
GCGGAAGUGGCGGAAUGGUAUACGCGCUACCUUGAGGUGGUAGUGGGAGUAAUCCCGUGGGGGUUCGAGUCCCCCCUUUCGCA